rnacentral:tRNA from 1 species
CGGAGUGUAGCGCAGCUUGGUAGCGCAUCUGGUUUGGGACCAGAGGGUCGUAGGUUCAAAUCCUAUCACUCCGACCA